GUUAACCGAACCGAAUUUUUUCGAUUAAACCGAUCGGUUAACCGAAUAAACCAAAAAUCAUAUAAUUUUUAUUUUUGGUUAAAAAUUAACCGAUUUAACCAACUGAUUUAACCGAUUUAACCGAAUUGAAUCACUACAUAAUUAAAAAAAUUACAUAAGUCUUUGAAUCACUACAUAAUUAAAAACAUUACAUAAGUCCUUGAAUCACUACAUAAUUAAAAACAUUACAUAAGUCUUUGAAUCACUACAUAAUUUAAAAACAUUACAUAAGUCUUGAAAUUAACACAUAAUUGAAAUGUAAGUCUUUAAUAUUCUCCAUUUAUAUCCAUUUCUUCUUUCCAAAAAAUCUCCAUUUGCAUUAAACCUACAAAAAAAACAUGUAUAAUCUAUAUAAAACCAUCUGAACCCAAACAUAAAUGUCAAAUUUUGUUAUUAGUCCCUAUACUAUGUAUAAUCUGUAAACUUUUUAAAUUUUAUAAUUUAAGUAUUAUGUGAAAAUAACAUAUUUUAAUUUAAUAAAUCUAAUGACUGUGAUUAAAAUUGAAAUUUCAUUUUUUUAAAAAGAUAAUAAAACUAAAAUUGAUUAAAUUAAAGUAAAGGGACUAAAUACAUAAGUUGUGUAUGGUAGAAAGACUUGUAAGAAAAUUCUAUCAAAAAUAAAAGAGAGAAAUUACCAGUGCUUAAGAUCCUCCUACUUUAAUGUUUUGAGUCCAUGUCAAUCUAUUCUCUAGAUGUGAACUGUGAUGUCUCUAAGGAUCUUUUUCUACAUACAAGCAUUCUUCCUGUUUUUUCUCAAGAAUUUAACAUUACACUUUUACCUAAAUGCAGAUACUCUUUUACCUAUUGCUUGAAGGUUGUUUUCCAGAUUGUUGCGGGUUAGUAUAUGCAAAUUAGGAGCAUGAGCAGCAAGCAAAGCAAGAGUGAUGAAGUAAUUGAAACAAUUAUAUCUUACUAUAAUGCCAGUAUCUUUGAAAAUUGAAAUGGAAACAAUUUUCAAAACAAAUUCAAUAUCUUUCAAAUUGAAGGCGAUGACAACAAUGCCACUAAUAUGCGAAAAAGGUAAGUCAAUAAUGAACCCUAAAUGUACAUACAUACAUACGAGAAAAUUAGUCUGUUAUGGCUUCAGUUUCUUAAGUAAUUACUGUAUCACUCUCCAUGAUACACCAUUGAUUAAAAUUUUUUGCUAAAAACUCAAAAACCAUUGCCUCUUUCGAUGGCAAAACCAUAUAAAAUCGAACUUUAUACGUAGUUACCAGCAUGUUUUGGUCAUUACUACUUGAAUUUUUAGGGAGGGAUAAAGGGAGUUGUCGGCAAGGUAGACGAACUAAACAAAACAAAACCCUAAAAUUAAAAAUAUAUCUGCCAUUGAAGAAAUUAGAAAAAAAAAACAAAGGGAAAUUAGAAGAAAGCAAACCUGGCCUCUGGGUAUUGGUGUGCUGGAAGAGAAAUGGACAACAAAAAUGGUGGAUUUUCCCGAUUCGACUGAAAAUCUGAUAUUGAGAUUGAGAAAUGAGAACCCGAUGGCCGAUUUGUGACUUUGUGUUGCUGUUACCAGCACUUGCUGAGUGCUCUUGAGAAAAGAUUUGGUUCUUAGGCUUGGAGCCUGGAGGAGAGAAAAUAAAUUAGGCUAGCCGGCUGGGUUUAAUUUAAGGCCCAUUAACCUACAAAAUUCGGUUAAAUCGAAAAAAUUCAGUUAACUGACCGGUUUCGAACCGAUUUAACCGUUAAUCAAAAAUUUAAA
rnacentral:lncRNA from 1 species